ACGUAGGGGGCCAGCGUUGCUCGGAAUUACUGGGCGUAAAGGGUCCGUAGGCGGUGCGGCAAGUCGGAAGUGAAAUCUCAGGGCUUAACCCUGAGGCUGCUCCCGAAACUGCCGUGCUCGAGUGCGAGAGAGGCGAGUGGAAUUGCAGGUGUAGCGGUGAAAUGCGUAGAUAUCUGCAGGAACAUCCGAGGCGAAAGCGGCUCGCUGGAUCGCAACUGACGCUGAGGGACGAAAGCUAGGGGAGCAAACAGGA
rnacentral:rRNA from 1 species